CUAUACAUGACUCUGCGCAUAUCAAUAAGCGGAGGAAAAGAAACUAACAAGGAUUCCCUUAGUAACGGCGAGUGAAGCGGGAAGAGCUCAAAUUUGAAAUCUUCAAGGUUUUACCUUGACGAAUUGUAGUUUAAAGAAGUGUUUUCUGCUGAAGUUUUGGUAAAAGUUCUUUGGAAUAGGACAUCAUAGAGGGUGAGAAUCCCGUAUUUGACCAUUAUUUUCAGCUUUGUGAUACACUUUCAAAGAGUCGGAUUGUUUGGGAAUGCAGUCCAAAAUGGGUGGUAAAUUUCAUCUAAAGCUAAAUAUUGGCGAGAGACCGAUAGCGAACAAGUACCGUGGGGGAAAGAUGAAAAGAACUUUGAAAAGAGAGUUAAACAGUACGUGAAAUUGUCAAAAGGGAAGCGUUUGACACCAGUGUUGUUUUCUCGAAAAUCAAUUGAAAAAUGGCUCGAUUUUGUAUUGCUUGAGACCUUAAAAGCUCACUGUACAUUUUUCGUGUCUUUUUUAAUGCACUUUUCGUUUAACAAGUCAACAUCAGUUUCUUUUGUUGUAAAAGGGUCAUUGGAAGGUGGCUUUCUUUUCGGAGAAAGUGUUUAUAGCCUUUGGCCUCUGCAAUCGGAGAGACUGAGGUCUGCAGCGUAGACUCUUCGGGGUUAGAUACAUUUGUGCUAAGUUAUAGCUUUUUAUAGACAACUUGUUGACUAUAAUUAGUCUUGUAGCUUACUCGCUUAUGCUAUUUUACCUACGCUUAGGAUGUUGAAGAUGUAGCACAUCAU
rnacentral:rRNA from 1 species